GCUUGCCAUGUCCUGGGUUUGUCUGUAGUCCCAGCCCAGAGGGAGAAAACAGAUUGGGUAAGAAAAGUUGGAAGUGACUCAAAUGUACUUUUUCUCCAUUCCUCAUACAGGAGCCAAUCCUCCCUUUUGUCUGUCAGACCCCUUUAAAUGCUGUUGAUGGCAACCAAGCAUCACAUCUCCCGCUUGAGAGAUCAGCAUUUAACAUUCAAUAACUGCUCUGUGUAAGUUCUCCCAGACAGCAGAUGGGAUGCUGGAGGCUGUAGUCUCCCAGGAUGGCACACUGGAAAUGAAACAGGAAAUCCAGUAGCUGGUCAGUGUUGCAGCCUGAGUUUGAGCCCUCUCCAAAGGGGAAUUUUGUGGAAGGCAAUGCCAAAGGCCUUAGUGAAGUCAGGGAAUAUGUCCACUGCUUUCCUCUCAUCAAGCAAGCCAGCCAUUUAUCAUGGGAGAUUGUCAAGUUGGUCAAGUGACUGACACUUCAGGAAGACAACAAAUGGGCCCAAGGACACGAAUCGGGACUCCACUGCCUGACUGUUCCUUGUAUAACGGUGUGACUUGUGCAUCCCUGCCACCACCCAACCCACUCAGACCAGCUGUUACCCUGUCCUUUGGCACACAGCUGGAUGAUACCUAGGGAACUCAGUGUUGGACAUGAUAUCAUGCUGUUUCUGGAAUCAUGCACACGCAACCCAGGAGACUGAACAACAUUGCAUUGAAAAGGAAAGUAGGAAACAAAAGCAGCGCAUUUCAUGUUUCAGCCUCUUGGAGGGACCAAAGGGCAUACUGUCUUUAGAAAUACUACAAAAGGCUAAAAGAGAUGUAUAAGCUCAGCUGUGA